UAUGUGAUUUAUUUCUGGGUUUUAUUUUUCUUCCGAUUAUUAGAUCUAAACAACACUUGUGCAUGGUUGUUGUUAGAAUCUUGUUGUUCCCUUGUUCCCUAAGGGCACUUGAGAUAGACAGACAGCAUCGAUGAUGGAGAAAAACCUUGUAAUCAUCCUUGCACUUUGAAUUUUCAUAGUGAUGAAAACUAAUGGGGAAAUAUGAGUCUGAGAUGCUUCUUUGCUUUCAUUUUGGGCUUGUGAUUUUUAUAUGAAAAGGAAAAAAUUUCAAUCUGUAAUUUUUUUUUAUUAUUACCUGGAUCAGUGAUGUUUAAAUACUGCGUUAUCUUCCUGAAAAAAAUUCCUCCAAUGAGGAUUUUCAUUCGAUGACAAAAUGCCUACUGAGAUCCCUUCUUCCUAAAACUGAUUAUUAUUUUUUGCUUUUGGUUUGACUUCAUGAUUUUGAAUGUGUUCUAUUUGAUGUUUCACCUAAUUAUAAGUUGCCAAACAACUUUGUAUGGAUUUCAGUUUGAUGAUAGGUGUUGUCGCCCCAGUCUUACAUGCAUCAAUGGUGCAAGAUGGUGACUGACUUCAAUUUCUGAUUCAAAUAAUUACAUAAGAUACUAUCUAAAAGUCUUUAACUUGUCUAGGUAUUAUCUACUAGCCCACACGUUUUAGAAAGAAGUUUGGAAAACCAUAUCAUUAUCAUUCGUUUUUCCAAUUUCAUCAAGAACAUUGUUGGCACUGACCCAAUACACAUAUUUUGUUUUCCGAACCCUUAGGGUUUAAUCCCGUGGAUUUGAAUGGAAGAUUGAUAUUCAAUAGGUGUUGUGAAACUAAGGUGUCCCUCAAUCAAGUAUUGUCAGGUUCUUAGUUAACCAACCAUGGCCACGUUCGAUUAGCAGUGGUAAAAUUUGGAGAGAUCGCAGAAGAUAUUAAGGAUGAAUCAGAAGUCUUUUUUGGAGAAGUUUGUGAUCAAGUAUGAGCAAGCUCCUGAGCUGUUGAAGAUUUAUAAUCAGGCAUCCAUUCGGCGUGUCUCGGAAGACUCCCAAAGUGAUGAGUUAAUCUUUGCUGCCAAGCAAGUCGAAACCUAGCUACUGGCUCGCUGAAAUUUGUGUGGGUGCAGCUCGAGAUAAGUACAUUGUCUUGGUGUGUUUUUACUUAAACCUUGCUGUCUAUGAGUUCUAUCGUAGCAUAUCCAAAGACACGUAUUAGGCAGAUAAGUGCAAACGAAUUGGACGCCGCAAUAAGUAUUUGAAUUCCUUUAUUCAGUUAGUGGCAUGAAAUGUGCAGUAGAUGUCUUAUUGUAAAACAUUUAUUACAUAGCCUUUACUUGGUCCUUUUGUCAAUUCCUGCUUCUCCUUGGCAUGUUAGGUGUCUGUAUGCUUGUUCCAUUCUCUCCAAAAAAUAAAAUAUGUGUGUACCUAUCACGUGCCUCAUACAUGUUGACAUGAAAAGAAUACAUUGUGUAGGUAGUAAUUUUCUAGUGUUUAACAACUCUACUUAUCUAGAACAUGUGUACUGGAUGACAAAAUUUUGGCUGUAAAAGUAAAGGAAUUUAAGGAAGUACAAUUCAGGAAAGAUACUUGUGGUUUGUUGUUCGGUUUUAAGAAAUUUAGUACAAUGUGUUUGCAAUGGCAAGAAUCAAAAUGUGACAUAGUAAUUAAGAUGGGUGCUUGUUUGAGUACUUACCUUUUGUGUUCCUGGGAAGCUCAUAUGCUUGUUUCAUCUAGGUGAAUCGCGGAGGAGAUUUGCAGCUGAACUUAGAACCACAUUGGAUCAUUCUCUGUGGUACAUGUUUGAUCCAUGAAUUUGUAGUUGCUGGAUGCGUAGCUACUUUUGUUGUAUCCAUGAAUUACUUUAAAUAGAUAAUCUGCUACUUGUGUUGUAUCCAUGUACGCGCAUAUGCCUCUCUUCUUUGAGGGUUUAAAGCAAAUUGGUAACCUAUUUUGUUAUUGUUUCUGGACUUCGAUGCCAUUGAAGUUAUUUAUUUGUUUUUGCUUUCAAUUUUCUGGUGUUUCUUUUUUUUUCCAAUGUUUUAUUUUUCUUUCCGAUUAUUAUAUCUACGGAACACUUGUACAUUGUUGUUGUUAGAAUCUUGUUAUUCCUCAAGGAAAGAGAGUUAGACAGACAGCAUCAAUGAUGGACAAAACCUUGUAAUCAUCCUUGCACUUUGAAUUUUCAUAGUGAAGAAAACUAAUGGGGAAAUAUGAGUUUGAGAUGCUUCUUUUUUGGCCUUGUGAUUUUUGUAUGAUAAGGAUUUUUUUUUUCAAUUUGUAAACUUUUUAGUGUUAUCAGGAUCAAUGAUGUUUAAAUACUGCGUUAUCUUCCUGAAAAAGUUUCUCCAAUGAGGAAUUUUGUAAGAUGACAAAAUGCCUACCGAGGUCCUUCUUCCAAAAACAGUUUUUUGCUUUUGGUUUGAUUUAAUGAUUUUAUUUAGAGUUUCCUUAAUUUUUGAGUUCUCUGUUUGGUGUUUGGCUGAUUUUGAAUUUGUCUAUUUUGUUGUUUCACUUGAUUCUAAGUUCCCAAACAACUUUGUAUGGAUUUGAAUUUGAUAGUAGGUACUUACAUGCAUCUGCAAGAUGGCGAUUUCUAUUCAAAUAAUUACAUAAGGAUAUUAUAUAGACUUGAUUAUUUCUUUUUAUAUUCUAGACUUCAACUUGUCAAGAUAUUAUCUACUAGCCCUCACGUUCUAGAAAGAAGUUUAGAAAACCGCAUCAUUUGUGUUUUCAAUUUCAUCUAGAACAUUGUUGCUACUGACGCAAUAUACAUUUUUUGUUUUCCGACGCACUUAGGGGUUUAAUCCUGUAGAUUUGAAUGAAAGAUUGAUGUAAUGAAGGUGUCCCUCAUGUGCUUGUUUCGACUAGGUGAAUCACGGUUGAACUAGGCAGCUUAACUUAGAACCACACUGGAUUAUUCUCGCGGAUCAUCCUCCACUUUUUUGCUAGACUUCUUCACAACCUUCUUCAAUGCCUAACACUUUGGCUUUCUUCAAUGCCUAACAAGGAUGGAGAAUUGAAGAAGUCAAGCAAAAAAGUGGAGGAAGUGUGCAAAGUAGCGUGGCGACCAAGUAUGAUUUAGAAGCUCCUGAGCCGUUGCAGGUAUAUCAUAGUUCACUAUUUUGAUAUUCCUUCAUUCAGUUAGUGACAUGAAAUGUGUUUUAGGAUUAUGUGAAUUUAUGAUUUAGGUUACAUAGUCUUUACUUGGCCCUUUUGUUUUUUCCUGUAGUGUUUUUCCUUGCAAUGUUAGAUGUUAGUUGUAUGCACGCUUGUUUAUGUUAGUUGUAUGUACGCCUGUUUUAUUCUCUCCCAAAAGAAAAUUAUGUGUCCACCAGUCACUCGCCUCAUACAUGUUGACAAGAAGAAGAAUACCAUGUAGUUAGUAGUUUUCUGGUGUUUAGCAACUAUGAUUUUUAGUACCAUGUGUACAGAGGCAUUCGUAAUAUCACAUUCACCCAGAAUGGUAAAAUUCACCAUGUAAAGUUCCAAGUACCGACCGAUAAAGACACAAAUUUACGCUCCUCUAGUCAGUACUUUGCCGAAUCCCGAGCAUUGGCAUUUCCCCCCAAACCUGUAAGGUGAGACGUUAAAACCUUAAUGUUGGGUUGUUCACUAAACCUGACAUUUCUGGUGUUUUUCUUGUUUUCUCAAUUUCCCCCCUUCCGAUUAUUAGAUCUAAACAACACUUGUGUAUUGUGGUUGUUAGAAUUUUUUAUUCCUCACGGAAAGGGAGUUACACAGACAGCAUCAAUGAUGGACAAAAUCCUUGUAAUCAUCCUUGCACUUUGAAUUCUGAUAGUGAAGAAAACUAACGGGGAAAUAUGAGUCUGAGAUGCUUGCUUUCUUUUUGGCCUUGUGAUUUUUGUAUGAAAUUGAAUUUUUUUCAGUCUGUAAAAUUUUUGUUUGUGUUAUCAGGAUCAGUGAUGUUUAAAUACUGCGUAGUAUCUUUUUGAAUAAAUCUCUCCAACGAGGAAUUUUUUUUAGAUGUCGAUUGCCUUCUGAGGUUCUACUUCGUAAAGUAGUUUUCGCUUUUGGUUUGAUUAUCAUGAUUUAUUUAGAGUUUACUUAAUUUGUGAGUACUCUGUUUGGAGUUCGGCUGAUUUUGGAUCUGUCUAUUGUGUUGUUUCACUUAAUUUGAAUAUGAUGAUAGGUAUUGUCGCCUCAUUGGUGCAACAUGGUGAUUGACUUCCAUUUCUGAUUUAAAUAAUUACAUAUGUUCAUUGUCUAGACUUGAUUAAUUCAAUUUCAUGUUAGACUUGUCAAUUUAUUAUCUACUUGCCCACAUUCUAGAAAGAAACUUAGAAAACCAUGUCGUUCGUUUUUUCGAUUUUAUCAAGAAAAAUUUUAGUACUGACCCAAUACAUUUUUUUUGUUUUCCGACGCCUUAGGGGUUUAAACCUGUAGAUUUGAAUGAAAGAUUGAUACUCAAUAUACAGGUUUUGAGAAAUGAAGGUGCCCCUCAACCAAGUAUUGUCAUAUUCUUAGUUAGCCAACCAUGGUCGCUUUCUAUUAGCACUGGUAAAUUCAGGGAGAGAUAGUAGAAGAUAUUAAGGGUAUGGGUUUCGGUCCUUAGAAAUUUAAGUUCUUAGUGGUCUUCAUGCAUUGACAGCGAUGAAUAAAUCGACUUGUUGAAACUAAGGUUAGAAGAUUUAAUUCAAAAUUUGUUUAAUACAUGUCCUAUCUAUAUGAAGCUAUCCGAGAAGAAAAUCAUAUAGUCCCUGGCUUGUUGCUAAGUGUCCAUGAAUUGAGGUUUCCCGUUUAUCAAAUAUUAGUCUCCAAGGGUCUGAUUGAGGGACGAAUUUUCUUAGAAACACUGCAUAUGAGUCUUUAUUGGAGAAGCUGUGAUCAAGUAUGAGCAAGAAGCUCCUGGGCAAUUUAAGGUAUAUCAUAGUUCACUAUUUGGUAUUCCUUUGUACAGUUAAUGACAUGAAAUGUGCUGUAGAUUAUCUGAAUUUUUGCAACUUAAGUUUACGGUUUUUACUUGGCCCUUUUGUUUAUUCCUGCUUCUCUAUAGCAUGUUAGCUGUAUGUAUGCUUAUUUUAUCUUCUCCAAUAUGAAAAAUACGGCUUUACCAGUCACUUGACUUUUUUAUACUGAAAAUCAAGAGAGGUGCUUGUCUUAAAGCUAACUUAUCUUUUCUUUGCCGGAAAAUUUUAUGCUUCCACUUGGUAAAUGGCUGAGGAACUUAUCAGACUAACUUAGAGCUGAGCAUUCUCUACGGUAUAGAUUUCUUCUAUGGAUUGGUAGUUCCUUAAUGCUUAGCCACUAUGUUUGUGUCCAAGGUGAACUUUAAUAGAUAAGCAAACAUAUAUUUAUCUUAACUACUUGUGCAGGAUUAUCCGAUUACUUAUAUAAAUGAGGGAUCUGGACCACUCGGCUGAAGUGGACUCCUCAUUUUUUUUAGAUACCUCUAACCUUGCCAUCCAUCUUAUGACUGCGGGCUGCAGUGGACUCAUUUUUUUAGAUACAUUUAACCUUGCCAUCCAUCUUAUGAGUGCUUUAGAGUUUAACUAGUCACAUUUUCUAAGAGAUUGAAUUUUCUGCACUUGAUUAUUCAGUUUUAUUAUGCAGUAAACUAGCAAAGCCUUGGGCAUAAUUUUAGUAGAUUAACUACUUAUUCAUUCUAAUUCUUCUAUUACUUAGAUAAAUAAUCAAUUGCAUCUGUAUGCAUGUACUUAGAUACUGAUCAUGAAAAAGAGGUUGCAGGAACAGGUGGGAUUAGAAGAGAAAAACUGGAAGUUCCCGAGGAAAUCAUGAAAUAUUGUGAAGGAAUAUUUUAAAUGGGACACAACAGAAGAUUUGGAUACCACUGAGACAAAGUAUCUUCAUUACAAUGUUAGUACAGUGGUGACAACUAAAGCUGAAUAUGAGGAUCUCAAACAACAACUGGAAAAUUCACGGGCGCUAUAUUCUCGUCUGGAGGACUAUAACCUUGAUCAUGUCAAAGUCUCUGACCCUUCUGUAUCUUCUUUACGUUGUUUUCUGAGGGACUCGGGCACGGGUGCGAAGACACUGGUGAUGAACCCCGAGGAUCAUGUCAUUGAGGGCCUUCGGAUGAGGUCUGAUGCGAACAAGAAUGACUUCCACGUGCGUAAAGCGGCUCUCGUGUUGUUUCACUCUGCUAGUUUGCAUCACAACUUGUUGAAGAUGACAGAGGAGCGUUGCCUGAACAUGUUUAUGACGGAACAGGAAGAUUGCUUGAAAGAAGUGGACAAGAUGCAGGAGCAGUGGUUUCUGGUAGAUGCAUCAUCUUUAAAUUGUAACCUUUAAUUUAAUCGUCCUAUGCGUCAUCUUUAGCAGUCCUUUGAGAGGUCUUUUCCCUGACCAAGAAUCGUACCUGAAUUGAUGCACCUGAAUUAAUGCUGUAAUGAGAAUGAGCAUCAAUGACGGCAGCUGGAUUGGCAAUGGCUUCCU